AAGACUGUACUUUCAGGGAUCAUUGCCACAGUUCGUUACUAGAGCAGUGUUUCUGAUCAUUAGAGCUCCCGACACCACGCGGAGACACAGCGUUCUCUCCUGCGCGGUCAUGAAGCCGGCUCUUGCUGUUGCUUCGGGAACUGCCAUUUGCCACUGAUGAUCCUUCCUUUUGUCUCCUGGGAGAAAAUGAGAGGGACAGAGUGCGGGGGUGGG